rnacentral:rRNA from 1 species
CGCCUCUUGUUUAACAUUAAGAGGUCCAGCCUGCCCAGUGAUAACAUUCAACGGCCGCAGUACCCUAACUGCGCGAAGGUAGCAUAAUCACUUGUUCCUUAAAUAGGGACUAGUAUCAACGGCAUCACGAGGGUUGCACUGUCUCCUUUAUCUAAUCAGUGAAACUGAUCUCCCCGUGAAAAAGCGGGGAUACACUUAUAAGACGAGAAGACCCCAUGGAGCUUUAAACCUACAGCAACUCAACCACAUAAUCCUACACAACCUUAGAGACAUGCCUGUUGGCUUUAGGUUGGGGUGACCGCGGAGUAAAAAUCAUCCUCCACAACACAAAGAUCUAAAUCUUUAUUCAAGAGCCACCACUCUAAAAAUUAGCACACUAAUGUACACUGACCCGAUAAUCGAUUAAUGAACCAAGUUACCCUGGGGAUAACAGCGCAAUCUAUUUCAAGAGUUCAUAUCGACAAAUAGGCUUACGACCUCGAUGUUGGAUCAGGGUACCCUAGUGGUGUAGCAGCUGCUGAAGGUUCGUUUGUUCAACGAUUAAAACCCU